rnacentral:pre_miRNA from 1 species
GGAAGCGAGUCAGUAAGUAGAGCGAGCCCGGCGUGUGAUCUUAUUGGUAGUGUGGUUGUUAAUCUAUCAUAAGACACACGCGGCUCUCUCUCUUGCGUUAAGACCACGAGUAC